rnacentral:rRNA from 1 species
ACAUGGGGGGCAGCCUAACCGUGCGAGUCGAGCGGCAGCACAGAGGAACUUGUUCCUUGGGUGGCGAGCGGCGGACGGGUGAGUAAUGCCUAGGAAAUUGCCCUGAUGUGGGGGAUAACCAUUGGAAACGAUGGCUAAUACCGCAUGAUGCCUACGGGCCAAAGAGGGGGACCUUCGGGCCUCUCGCGUCAGGAUAUGCCUAGGUGGGAUUAGCUAGUUGGUGAGGUAAUGGCUCACCAAGGCGACGAUCCCUAGCUGGUCUGAGAGGAUGAUCAGCCACACUGGAACUGAGACACGGUCCAGACUCCUACGGGAGGCAGCAGUGGGGAAUAUUGCACAAUGGGCGCAAGCCUGAUGCAGCCAUGCCGCGUGUAUGAAGAAGGCCUUCGGGUUGUAAAGUACUUUCAGUCGUGAGGAAGGUUUUUGCGUUAAUAGCGCAGGGAUUUGACGUUAGCGACAGAAGAAGCACCGGCUAACUCCGUGCCAGCAGCCGCGGUAAUACGGAGGGUGCGAGCGUUAAUCGGAAUUACUGGGCGUAAAGCGCAUGCAGGUGGUGGAUUAAGUCAGAUGUGAAAGCCCGGGGCUCAACCUCGGAACCGCAUUUGAAACUGGUUCACUAGAGUACUGUAGAGGGGGGUAGAAUUUCAGGUGUAGCGGUGAAAUGCGUAGAGAUCUGAAGGAAUACCGGUGGCGAAGGCGGCCCCCUGGACAGAUACUGACACUCAGAUGCGAAAGCGUGGGGAGCAAACAGGAUUAGAUACCCUGGUAGUCCACGCCGUAAACGAUGUCUACUUGGAGGUUGUGGCCUUGAGCCGUGGCUUUCGGAGCUAACGCGUUAAGUAGACCGCCUGGGGAGUACGGUCGCAAGAUUAAAACUCAAAUGAAUUGACGGGGGCCCGCACAAGCGGUGGAGCAUGUGUUUAAUUUCGAUGCAACGCGAAAGAACCUUACCUACUCUUGACAUCCAGAGAAGCCAGCGGAGACGCAGUGUGCCUUCGGGAACUCUGAGACAGGUGCUGCAUGGCUGUCGUCAGCUCGUGUUGUGAAUGUGGCUAAAGUCCCGCAACGAGCGCAAACCUUAUCCCUUGUUUGCAGCGAGUUAUGUCGGGAACCUCCAGCAGAACUGGCGUGAUAACGAGCAUGUGGGUACGACGUCAGUCAUCAUGGUCCUACAGAGAUAGGCUCUAC